UACGUAGGGUGCGAGCGUUGUCCGGAAUUAUUGGGCGUAAAGAGCUCGUAGGCGGUUUGUUGCGUCGGCCGUGAAAACCUGCAGCUUAACUGUGGGCCUGCGGCCGAUACGGGCAGACUUGAGUUCGGUAGGGGAGACUGGAAUUCCUGGUGUAGCGGUGAAAUGCGCAGAUAUCAGGAGGAACACCGGUGGCGAAGGCGGGUCUCUGGGCCGGACCUGACGCUGAGACGCGAAGGCGUGGGGAGCGAACGGG
rnacentral:rRNA from 1 species